rnacentral:rRNA from 1 species
AUUGAACGCUGGCGGCAGGCCUAACACAUGCAAGUCGAACGGUAACAGAAAGCAGCUUGCUGCUUUGCUGACGAGUGGCGGACGGGUGAGUAAUGUCUGGGAAACUGCCUGAUGGAGGGGGAUAACUACUGGAAACGGUAGCUAAUACCGCAUAACGUCGCAAGACCAAAGAGGGGGACCUUCGGGCCUCUUGCCAUCGGAUGUGCCCAGAUGGGAUUAGCUAGUAGGUGGGGUAAUGGCUCACCUAGACGACGAUCCCUAGCUGGUCUGAGAGGAUGACCAGCCACACUGGAACUGAUACACGGUCCAGACUCCUACGGGAGGCAGCAGUGGGGAAUAUUGCACAAUGGGCGCAAGCCUGAUGCAGCCAUGCCGCGUGUAUGAAGAAGGCCUUCGGGUUGUAAAGUACUUUCAGCGAGGAGGAAGGUGUUGAGGUUAAUAACCGCAGCAAUUGACGUUACUCGCAGAAGAAGCACCGGCUAACUCCGUGCCAGCAGCCGCGGUAA